UGCAACAUUGUGUGAUGAGAAGUUGAAACUCCGACGUAUCUGGAUACUACUGUUGGUUUCUGUCCUCUGCUGACUCCAGCUCGCUGGGGAGAAACGACGGGGAGGAAGAAGGAUCGGACAAAGACUCGUUUAUCGAGGGGACCCUCGUGGGGAAGGAAGUGUUAUCUGCAGAUGCCUACAACUGUUGGUGGUAGAAGAAGGGGUUCCCUGCAAAUGUGGUCUUGACAAGCAGGACGUGGAGCAUCUCUCCAUAAAACAGGAACCUCUGGAUCUAUGGCCCAAUCAGGAUAAGUGAUGGAAGAUGGAAUGACGACAGGGCACAUAGGUCAGACGCUUUUCUCCAAAGCGACUUCGAGACGAGAGUAAGAACACCAGCAGAAACCAACCAGAAGGGACGUCAUCAUUAAGUGGUACUCAGACUGCUGGGAGUCCAGGUGGACGCAGGUGCUGUCAUGUAGCACUAGAGGCAGGACUUUCUUUUUUUUCCUUAUGAUUUCAUCACACAACAUCAUCUUAAGCAUAAGUGCACGCAUCUUCUUCAGUACUGAGCUGAACCAAAGAGCUGGACAAAUCUUUUUAACUCAUUCCGAUGAGUAAAAGAGUUAAGCUAAGUGUGGAAAUGCUCCUUAAACAACUGAGUCUUUAGCUUGCUUUUAAAAGUGGAUAAGGACGGCUGAACUCUAUACCUUCAGAAUUUGUUCAGAUCAGUCUAU